rnacentral:rRNA from 1 species
ACGGGAGGCAGCAGUGAGGAAUAUUGGUCAAUGGGCGGAAGCCUGAACCAGCCAUCUCGCGUGCAGGACUACGGCCCUACGGGUCUUAAACUGCUUUUAUGGGGGGAUAAAGUCGGGCAUUCGUGUCCGUUUGCAGGUACCCCAUGAAUAAGGAUCGGCUAACUCCGUGCCAGCAGCCGCGGUAAUACGGAGGAUCCGAGCGUUAUCCGGAUUUAUUGGGUUUAAAGGGUGCGUAGGCGGACUGUUAAGUCAGCGGUGAAAUACCACGGCUCAACCGUGGGGCUGCCGUUGAUACUGGCGGUCUGGAGUACGAUCGGCGCCGGCGGAAUGUGUCAUGUAGCGGUGAAAUGCAUAGAUAUGACACAGAACACCGAUCGCGAAGGCAGCUGGCGAGAACGAUACUGACGCUGAGGCACGAAGGUGCGGGGAUCAAACAGGAUUAGAUACCCUGGUA